rnacentral:rRNA from 1 species
GAUGAACGCUAGCUACAGGCUUAACACAUGCAAGUCGAGGGGUAACGAGAGGAAAGCUUGCUUUCCUUGUCGACGACUGGCGCACGGGUGAGUAACGCGUAUCCAACCUGCCCCCAACUAGGGAAUAACCUUGCGAAAGUAAGACUAAUACCCUAUAAUUUCCUCAGAAGCCAUCUGAAGAGGAAUAAAGAUUUAUCGGUUGUGGAUGGGGAUGCGUCGGAUUAGCUUGUUGGCGGGGUAACGGCUCACCAAGGCAACGAUCAGUAGGGGGUCUAGGAGGAAGGUCCCCCACAUCGGAGCGGAGAGACGGUCCACACUCCUACGGACGGCAGCAGUGAGUAAUAUUAGUCAAUGGGCGAAAGCUUCAACCAGCCAAGUAGCGUGCAGAAUGACGGCCCUAUUGGUUGUAAACUGCUUUGAUACAGGAAUAAAUUUAGCCACGUGUGGUUAUUUGUAGGUACUGUAUGAAUAAGGACCGGCUAAUUCCGUGCCAGCCGCCGCGGUAA